rfam:Schistosoma curassoni strain Dakar, Senegal genome assembly, scaffold: SCTD_scaffold0001400
GCACUGCUGACGAGUCCGAUACUAGGACGAAAUAGCCAUCCAGUGC